AAGCUGGAAUCGCUAGUAAUCGCGAAUCAGAAUGUCGCGGUGAAUACGUUCCCGGGUCUUGUACACACCGCCCGUCACACCAUGGGAGUCGGGAAUGCCCGAAGUCAGUGACCCAACCAUAUGGAGGGAGCUGCCGAAGGCAGGUCUGAUAACUGGGGUGAAGUCGUAACAAGGUAGC
rnacentral:rRNA from 1 species